UACGUAGGGUGCAAGCGUUGUCCGGAAUUAUUGGGCGUAAAGAGCUCGUAGGCGGUUUGUCGCGUCGGCUGUGAAAACCUGCGGCUCAACUGCAGGCUGGCGGUCGAUACGGGCAGGCUGGAGUUCGGUAGGGGAGACUGGAAUUCCUGGUGUAGCGGUGAAAUGCGCAGAUAUCAGGAGGAACACCGGUGGCGAAGGCGGGUCUCUGGGCCGAUACUGACGCUGAGGAGCGAAAGCGUGGGGAGCGAACAGG
rnacentral:rRNA from 1 species